rnacentral:lncRNA from 1 species
CCCGGCUCUCCCACCGCCUGGCUCUCCUACCCCCGGGCUCUCCCACCCCCAUCUCUCCCACUGACGGGCUCUCCCACCGACGGGUUCACUCCUUGCAGGCAGGCGCCGGGUUUCACCUGCUGCCUACCACGGGCCAGCAGCUUCUCGGAGCCCCCGCCCCCUGUCUUUCUGCGGGGACGUAUUUCCUAGGAGAGGUCGCAGCCCCUGAGGCUCUGGCGUACCUGGAGGGGGUCCCUGGGGGCCCUCUGGGAUUUGCUCCUGUGCCCCCCCCAUCCUGGUCAGCUCAGCGGGGGAGGCUGAGCUCUGUGACACCCCCCCCUCCGUCAUCCCUGCGCAGGUGCUGUCAGCCGGGCUUGGGUGGGGGGACUUCCCUGGACGGUCCCUCACCGGCCUGUCUUCCUUCCCGCCACGUAUCAGCAGGGACGUCUCUCCACGCGCCCCUCUCCCCGCGGGCGGCCCCGUCUCUUCUCCCGCGGGCGGCCCCACAAUCUGUGUGCCGUGUGCACGAGGAGGCUGCCUCCCGGAGCCCGGGCACCGGAUGCCACGGCCUGGCCGGCGCUGCUGCAGCUCUGGUGCCCCCUCCCAGCAGGCGCCCGUUACACCCUGAUGCCCCCCAGUACCCUGAGGCCCCCGGCACCCCGAGUCGCCCAUCCCCCUGCACCCGAGGGCUUGCACAGGCGCCCCCCGCCUGGCGCCCUGCUACGGAGGGACGUGUCCGUGAUGCCCCCGCGUGUCCACAGAGCGCACCCCUCUACCUGUGUCCCCGCCCCCCGCAGCCCGGUGUGCGGGAGAGCUCCGGGGCGGCUGCAGUGUCACGUCGGGGGGGGGGGGCNGGGGCCUCGGGGUGUAAGAGGGGGAGCCCCGCACGACCCGGUGCAGGUGUGUCGGAGAGCUCCGGGGCUGCUGCCAGAAGCGCUUCCCGCUCGUGGAGCCGUGUCCUCGUGUCCCGUGGGUUCACAGCGGCGGUCAGCCAAACAUCAAACCUUCCCAUUUCACCGUUUGGAUGAACAAUGUAUGAGGCAAAAAAAAAGGGACAAGUAAUAGCUUGAUACCUUUCUAAAAGGUAAUUUUUAAAAUUCUUGAUUCUUAGAAAUAUCAGACUUGCUUAAAGGCAUGAGAUCUUGGGUGGUGCGUUUGGCUGAGCGGCUAACUCUUGGUUUGAUCCUCAGGUGAUGAUUGCAUGAUGCUCUCUCUCUCUCUCUAAAAUAAAAAAUAUUAAAAAGACUGAGAUGUUACA